rnacentral:rRNA from 1 species
ACCAGCUCUUCAAGUGGUCGGGAUGAUUAUUGGGCUUAAAGUGUCCGUAGCCGGUUUAGUAAGUUCCUGGUAAAAUCAGGUAGCUUAACUAUCUGUAUGCUAGGAAUACUACUAUACUAGAGGGCGGGAGAGGUCUGAGGUACUAUAGGGGUAGGGGUGAAAUCUUAUAAUCCUUGUAGGACCACCAGUGGCGAAGGCGUCAGACUGGAACGUGCCUGACGGUGAGGGACGAAAGCCAGGGGAGCGAACCGGAUUAGAUACCCGGGUAGUCCUGGCCGUAAACGAUGCAUACUAGGUGAUGGCCCGGUCAUGAGCCGUGUCAGUGCCGUAGGGAAACCGUUAAGUGUGCCGCCUGGGAAGUACGGUCGCAAGGCUAAAACUUAAGGAAUUGGCGGGGGAGCACCACAAGGGGUGAAGCCUGCGGUUC